rnacentral:rRNA from 1 species
UACGGGGGGGGCAAGCGUUGUUCGGAAUUACUGGGCGUAAAGGGCUCGUAGGUGGUCAACUAAGUCGGACGUGAAAUCCCUCGGCUUAACCGGGGAACUGCGUCCGAUACUGGAUGACUUGAGUUCGGGAGAGGGAUGCGGAAUUCCAGGUGUAGCGGUGAAAUGCGUAGAUAUCUGGAGGAACACCGGUGGCGAAGGCGGCAUCCUGGACCGACACUGACGCUGAGGGGCGAAAGCCAGGGGAGCAAACGGG